AUUGAACGCUGGCGGCAGGCCUAACACAUGCAAGUCGAACGGUAACAGGAAGCAGCUUGCUGCUUUGCUGACGAGUGGCGGACGGGUGAGUAAUGUCUGGGAAACUGCCUGAUGGAGGGGGAUAACUACUGGAAACGGUAGCUAAUACCGCAUAACGUCGCAAGACCAAAGGGGGGGACCUUCGGGCCUCUUGCCAUCGGAUGUGCCCAGAUGGGAUUAGCUAGUAGGUGGGGUAACGGCUCACCUAGGCGACGAUCCCUAGCUGGUCUGAGAGGAUGACCAGCCACACUGGAACUGAGACACGGUCCAGACUCCUACGGGAGGCAGCAGUAGGGAAUAUUGCACAAUGGGCGCAAGCCUGAUGCAGCCAUGCCGCGUGUAUGAAGAAGGCCUUCGGGUUGUAAAGUACUUUCAGCGGGGAGGAAGGGAGUAAAGUUAAUACCUUUGCUCAUUGACGUUACCCGCAGAAGAAGCACCGGCUAACUCCGUG
rnacentral:rRNA from 1 species